rnacentral:rRNA from 1 species
UGAGGAAUAUUGGGCAAUGCCCGCAAGGGUGACCCAGCAACGCCGCGUGGAGGAUGAAUGUCGUAAGAUUGUAAACUCCUGUUAGAGGGGAAGAAUAGUACCGGUUGGACCGGUAUAUGACUGUACCCUCAGAGAAAGCCCCGGCUAACUACGUGCCAGCAGCCGCGGUAAUACGUAGGGGGCAAGCGUUGUCCAGAUUUACUGGGUGUAAAGGGCGCGCAGGCGGGAUAAAAAGUCAGUGGUGAAAUCCUACAGCUUAACUGUAGAACUGCCUUUGAUACUUUUAUUCUUGAGUUCGGGAGAGAGAGACGGAAUUCCAGGUGUAGUGGUGAAAUACGUAGAUAUCUGGAAGAACACCAGUUGCGAAGGCGGUCUCUUGGUCCGACACUGACGCUGAGGCGCGAAAGCGUGGGGAGCAAACA